GUCCACGCCGUAAACGAUGAUUGCUAGUUGUUGGGAUGCAUGCAUUUCGGUGACGCAGCUAACGCAUUAAGCAAUCCGCCUGGGGAGUACGCCGGCAACGGUGAAACUCAAAGGAAUUGACGGGGGCCCGCACAAGCGGAGGAACAUGUGGUUUAAUUCGAUGAUACGCGAGGAACCUUACCCGGGCUUGAAUUGCAGAGGAAGGAUUUGGAGACAAUGACGCCCUUCGGGGCCUCUGUGAAGGUGCUGCAUGGUUGUCGU
rnacentral:rRNA from 1 species